rnacentral:rRNA from 1 species
AGUGAACGCUGGCGGCGUGCUUAACACAUGCAAGUCGAACGAGAACGGGUUAUAGCUUGCUAUAAUUGUCAGCUAAGUGGCGCACGGGUGAGUAAUGUAUAGGUAAUAUGCCUCUUACUAAGGGAUAACAAAUGGAAACGUUUGCUAAUACCUUAUACUCCUUAUUAACAGAAGUUAAUAAGGGAAAGAUUUAUUGGUAAGAGAUUAGCCUGUAUUGUAUCAGUUAGUUGGUGGGGUAAUGGCUUACCAAGACUAUGACACAUAACUGGUUUGAGAGGAUGAUCAGUCACACUGGAACUGAGACGCGGUCCAGACUCCUACGGGAGGCAGCAGUGGGGAAUAUUGCACAAUGGACGAAAGUCUGAUGCAGCAACGCCGCGUGGAGGAUGACACAUUUCGGUGCGUAAACUCCUUUUAUAUGAGAAGAUAAUGACGGUAUUAUAUGAAUAAGCACCGGCUAACUCCGUACCAGCCGCCGCGGUAA